UACGAAGGGUGCUAGCGUUGUUCGGAAUUACUGGGCGUAAAGCGCGCGCAGGCGGCCAUUCAAGUCAGGGGUGAAAGCCCGGAGCUCAACUCCGGAACUGCCCUUGAAACUGUUUGGCUUGAGUACGGGAGAGGUGAGUGGAAUUCCCAGUGUAGAGGUGAAAUUCGUAGAUAUUGGGAAGAACACCGGUGGCGAAGGCGGCUCGCUGGCGCGUUACUGACGCUCAGGCGCGAGAGCGUGGGGAGCAAACAGG
rnacentral:rRNA from 1 species